UGUUUAGAACUGGUGUAGGAAAGCGCCCAUAUUUUGUUGAUAUUCAUUUGUCUGUUACACCAUAAAUAUUUAUACAGAAAACGUGGUUCAGUCGUAUCGGGUGCUUAUUGCGAUGAGUGUUUGUACCGAAAAUAAACGAUUGAUUCCUUUCACCCAGGCGGAGAAGUAUUUAUUGUAUGACUUAAUCAAAAAGUACAAGCAUAUAAUAGAAAAUAAAAAAACAGAUGCUGUCACAAACAACGAAAAGAAGCUAGCGUGGAAACGAAUUUCUGUGGAGUUUAAUGCCAGUGAUGUAACGAAACGAGACGAUGCACAGCUUAAAAGGUGUUGGGAGAAGACGAAAACUACUGCAAAGAAACAUAAAAUAGCGGAAAGGCAGCAUGCAAUGAAGACUGGUGGUGGCAGUGCCUUUGUAAAGAAGCCUGAAGUUGAAGAAGUGGUGACAAUAGUUUCAUCAAUUCAACCUCACUUCGAUCUGGACGUGAACUGUCCUUGGGACAGUAAUGCUGUUCAUCUCCAGGAAGCAAGAAAUAUUACUUUUGACAUACAAGAGGUACCUCUGGCUGGCAGCAGUCAUCAAAGUUGUGACAUGUCAUCAGCAACACUUCUCGAAACCACUGAUGAUGUGGACAAUCCUGAUAUGUCACCAACAUUACAGCUUGGUUUAGUACAUCCUGACAUUGUUUCACAUAACGAAGAGGCCUCAUCACACAAUAACUCAACCCCUCGAGCUGCACCUCGCAAAAACUCUUCAUUUACAGUGAAGUCAACACGCAUGGUUGAAGCUGAAGUAAAAAAACGAAUUGAAAAAAUUGAUUUUGAGAUGGAGAUGCUUCGUGAAGCUCAUCGCUCACGAAUGAAGCAAGAUGCGGAAAUCCAUUCUCUAAAAAUUGCAAGAGAAAAGAACUUGUUGCGUAUUUCAGAAAUUGAAAAGGAGAUUAAAGAAAAAGAACUGAUGAAGAAUUGUUAAUUUUUUUUUUUUGCUUUCCAGUCUCAUAAUGUAAUUAAUGGUGAUAUAUUCCUACAGUAUCUAAUAAAAAUCUUACAAACAGUACAUGCUACAAUUUGUCUUCUCCCCUCCCUGUUGAUCCCAUGCUUUGAGGUUGGCAUUAAACCUAAUGUCUGAGAAUAAUUGUUUCUGAUAUCAACAGGUAUGAGGAUACUAAUAUUGUUGGUGUGAUGUUUUUGCUUUUCGCAGCUAUCUUUACAUUCUCCUACAGAUACAUAAAUUUUGCACUGCUGCUUUCCUCACUGCAUCUUGUAAUGAUAUGUUUUAUGUACUAAAAGGUGUAUUUGUAAAUACUGGUGAUAAAUUUUGUGGUUAUAUACAGUAGAUGCAAUUAAUGCACACUUAUAAUGUGGCGGUGGCACAAAUGAAAUUUAUAAACUACUUAUGUUUGAAAUUAUUAUUAUUGUUUGUCACUUACAAAUCACUCCUAGGUGUUAAUAUGUAAAGCAUUAUGCCACAACUCAUGCUUAUGCAACCUAAUCACAUAUAUAAGCACAGAUAUUUGCAUUUUCAAACAAUUACUGAAGAGUUUGUGCAAGCUUUGAAAUUUCAGAAAUUUAGCAAAGUUAACAUAGGUGUUACAUGAAAUGUCUCUGAAUAAAGGCAGUUCUGAAGUGAUGACCAUUUCUGUUGCCAUGAAACAAACCCAUUGGUGGUGCAGCGACAUCAAUUUCAUCCACCCAUGGGUACUCAUCAUCUGGCAAUGGUUCAUUCGCAUCUAUGCUGAUAUUGUGCAACACAGCUGUUGCACAAAUGAUUGCAGCAGCAUUUUCCACUUUGUUUUCAAGUUUCUUGGUGAGGCAGCGGAAUCUCCGCUUCCAAAUACCGAAGGUUCUCUCCACAGCAUUUCUCGUGCGUUUGUGAGCAGUGUUGUACAUUACUUCUGCCUCAGUAUGUGGGCGAAGAAGAGGUGUAAAGAGGUAUGGAAGACAGGCAUAGCCAUUGUCUCCCAGCAUUAGACCUUUUAAACGGUGUUCUUCAAAGCAGAUUUUGAGUCCAGAACAAUUGAAUAUUCUGGCAUCAUGAAAGGAUCCAGGUCUUGUUGUGCAAAUGUCUAUAAUCUUGUAAUUUGGACCAACUGCUACCUGCCCACAGAAAACAAAUGUAUGUUGAAAAUAGGUGACCAUGGUACACAUUCUAUCAUGUUGCACAGCCCAAUUUACAAGCUUUUUUAUACAAACAAUUUGUAUUCAUCACGUGUCCAACAUUUAUUUACUUUAACAAUGACAACAAUAAUGUUGACAUAUUAGGUCAGUGGUGCCUGUUGUGAGGGUCUAUAAAAAUGCAUGGAAACAGUGUAUAUGAAGGACCUCUGAAAGCUUGGUACCAUGCAAAUUAUUUACUAGCAAACCGAAACAUUCCACUUAUUGUAUUGUAAUGCAUGUAGGCCUUUAAUAGGCUUUUUUUUUUGUGACAGCAUUUCUGUAGAUUAGCUAUGUUUUUAAACACCUACAAAACGAACACACAAAGACAUGUUCAUGCUUACCUGCACAUUCAAGGAGAAUAUUCCAUGUCUGUUUCUGAAUAGUUCACCGUGGUCAGCACCAGGAUUGGCUAUGGGUAUAUGGGUGCAGUCUAUUAGUGCCACUACACCAGGGAAUCCUGCUAUAUCGAAAAAAUGUUGCAUUGCAAAAUUCAUUUCUGCAUCUGUCCUGGGCAGUCUGACAUGAUGUCUUAGCUGACUAGCCAGUGCUUCAGUUACAUCUUUUAUUGCACCAGCUGCUGUAGUCUGGCUUAUGCCAUCAAGGUCACCGCAAACCUGCUGAAGUACAGAAUUUAUGCCCUGUUAGACAUUAACAACUAUUUGCCAUAACCAUUUAUUAUACAAUAAUAUUUGCCUACCUACUGCAAAUUCAUGUUUCAUCAUUCCAUAUUUUUUUACCAGUUUGUGUUUGGCAAGAACUAUGUAUCUGCUCACUGACGAUGUGACAACUUUAUUAACAGCCACAUGUUUGGGAGCAAUGGAAGGUUACCAACAAGCAUGUUCACAUCCUACAUGCACAAUAUUGUACUGUUUGAAACAGUGAGCGAGGGAUGCCUAGAAGACACCAAACGUAGUAUUAGGCCUACUAUAAACUAACCUGAAAACUUCCUGUUGCGAAAAAUCGUAAAGACAGAAGCAAUUUUCUAAUUGCUGGUAUUGGCAAUCCUCUUUUAUCAAGUUUUUCCAUGUGUUCCACAUAUGGAUACAGCACAUCUCUAACCACAUUUUUGGAGAAUCUAUAUUUCAUUUGAAAUUCCCUGUCUCGAUAAACUUCAAAGGGAUCGUGCAUAUUUCUUAAAUAUCUUUUCGGGGCUCGCGCCACGUUUUCCAAUUCUUCAUAGAAUUCAAAUACUUCGUCAAUGUGGUUUCGAAACUCGUCCAACUCCCGUGCCAUGGUUAAAAAAAAUGUAAACAAACAGCUGAACAAGCUGUUGAAACACCAUCAGACCACAUUCACCUGAAAGUGGUUGGCUCUCCACUUUGUAGCAGUCAACCUACAUCCGAAAGAGAUCUAUAAUGUG